CGAACGCUGGCGGCGUGCUUAACACAUGCAAGUCGAACGCGAAAGGGACUUCGGUCCUGAGUAAAGUGGCGCACGGGUGAGUAACGCGUAGAUAACCUGUCUUCAUGUCUGGAAUAAUACGCCGAAAGGGGUACUAAUACCGGAUAUUCUUGCUUUUCAUAAGUUAUGCAAGCAAAGGUGGCCUCUGCAUAUGCUACUGCAUGAAGAGGGGUCUGCGUACCAUUAGCUAGUAGGUGGGGUAAUGGCCUACCUAGGCGACGAUGGUUAGCGGGUCUGAGAGGAUGAUCCGCCACACUGGCACUGGAACACGGGCCAGACUCCUACGGGAGGCAGCAGUGAGGAAUAUUGCGCAAUGGGGGAAACCCUGACGCAGCGACGCCGCGUGAGUGAGGAAAGGCCUUCGGGUCGUAAAGCUCUGUCAAGAGGAAAGAAGUGUACAAUGGCUAAUACCUGUUGUAUUUGACGGUACCUCUAAAGGAAGCACCGGCUAACUCCGUGCCAGCAGCAGC
rnacentral:rRNA from 1 species